AGUGAACGCUGGCGGUAGGCCUAACACAUGCAAGUCGAACGGCAGCACAGUAAGAGCUUGCUCUUACGGGUGGCGAGUGGCGGACGGGUGAGGAAUACAUCGGAAUCUACUUUUUCGUGGGGGAUAACGUAGGGAAACUUACGCUAAUACCGCAUACGACCCACGGGUGAAAGCAGGGGAUCUUCGGACCUUGCGCGAUUGAAUGAGCCGAUGUCGGAUUAGCUAGUUGGCGGGGUAAAGGCCCACCAAGGCAACGAUCCGUAGCUGGUCUGAGAGGAUGAUCAGCCACACUGGAACUGAGACACGGUCCAGACUCCUACGGGAGGCAGCAGUGGGGAAUAUUGGACAAUGGGCGCAAGCCUGAUCCAGCAAUACCGCGUGAGUGAAGAAGGCCUUCGGGUUGUAAAGCCCUUUUGUUGGGAAAGAAAAGCAGCAGAUUAAUACCCCGCUGUUCUGACGGUACCCAAAGAAUAAGCACCGGCUAACUUCGUG
rnacentral:rRNA from 1 species